UACGAAGGGGGCUAGCGUUGCUCGGAAUUACUGGGCGUAAAGGGCGCGUAGGCGGAUAGUUCAAUCGGGGGUGAAAGCCCGGGGCUCAACCUCGGAACUGCCUUCGAUACUGGCUAUCUUGAGUACGGGAGAGGUGUGUGGAACUCCGAGUGUAGAGGUGAAAUUCGUAGAUAUUCGGAAGAACACCAGUGGCGAAGGCGACACACUGGCCCGUUACUGACGCUGAGGCGCGAAAGCGUGGGGAGCAAACAGG
rnacentral:rRNA from 1 species